GCCUGGAUAGCUCAGCUGGUUAGUAGAGAAUGGUGCUGAUAACACCAAGGUUGCAGGUUCAAUCCCAGUAUGGGACA